ACCCCGCGCCGCCCUGCUCCACGCUCUUCGUCGCUAACCUCGGACAGUUCGUCUCCGAACAUGAACUGAAGGAGAUAUUCAGCAGGGAGCCAAAGGCGGAGAAGAGGGCGAACAGCAUUAGUUCGUUCGUGGCACUCGGCACUUGACAACCAGCUAACUGAGGGACGCGCUAUCUUGAUCCUCCGCAGCGCGUCGGGGCCGGGGCGGCGUCGCCUUGCUAUAACGCGUGCUCGCGGUACGGCUAGCGGAUUGGAUCAAGAUCGAACUCACCAAACGACACCGGACAAACGUAAAAUAGCAAAACGCUCUCCUCCACUUUUAUGUUUCGUCUGUAGCGGCAGAGGUGUGGUCUAUUUUUGUUGAUACCAAAUUUAGCAUAAAUUUUUUAUUAUAUUAA